AACGAACGCUGGCGGCAUGCCUAACACAUGCAUGCCGAACGAGACCUUCGGGUCUAGUGGCGAACGAGUGCGUCACGCGUGGGAACCUGCCCUUAGGUUCGGAAUAACUCCCCGAAAGGGGUGCUAAUACCGGAUAAUGUCUUCGGCCCCAAGAUUUAUCGCCCUUGGAUGGGCCCGCGUUGGAUUAGCUUGUUGGUAGUGUAAAAGCCUACCAAGGCGACGAUCCAUAAUUGGUCUGAGAGGGUGAACAGCCACACUGGGACUGAGACACGGCCCAGCCUCCUAGGCGAGGCAGGAAGGGGGACUACUGCGCAGCGGGGAAGCGCGUGAUCCCGCUUUGGCGAGUGAGUGAUGAAGGCGUUUGGCUGGUGAAUGGCUUGUACGCGGGACGUGAAUGACGGUACCGGGAGAAUAAGCCCCGGCUAGCCCCGUG
rnacentral:rRNA from 1 species